AAGGCGUAUCCCGAAAAGCCUGUAUUAAAAGAGUAGGGA
rnacentral:ncRNA from 1 species